rnacentral:rRNA from 1 species
UACGUAGGGUGCAAGCGUUGUUCGGAAUUAUUGGGCGUAAAGGGUGCGUAGGCGGUUUGGUAAGUCUUAUGUGAAAUCUACAGGCUCAACUUGUAGUCUGCAUGAGAAACUGCCGGGCUUGAGUAUGGGAGAGGUGAGUGGAAUUCCUGGUGUAGCGGUGGAAUGCGCAGAUAUCAGGAGGAACACCGAUGGCGAAGGCAGAUCUCUGGGCCGUAACUGACGCUGAGGAGCGAAAGCAUGGGGAGCGAACA